AGUGAACGCUGGCGGUAGGCCUAACACAUGCAAGUCGAACGGCAGCACAGAGGAGCUUGCUCCUUGGGUGGCGAGUGGCGGACGGGUGAGGAAUACAUCGGAAUCUACUCUGUCGUGGGGGAUAACGUAGGGAAACUUACGCUAAUACCGCAUACGACCUACGGGUGAAAGCAGGGGAUCUUCGGACCUUGCGCGAUUGAAUGAGCCGAUGUCGGAUUAGCUAGUUGGCGGGGUAAAGGCCCACCAAGGCGACGAUCCGUAGCUGGUCUGAGAGGAUGAUCAGCCACACUGGAACUGGUACACGGUCCAGACUCCGACGGGAGGCAGCAGUGGGGAAUAUUGGACAAUGGGCGCAAGCCUGAUCCAGCCAUACCGCGUGGGUGAAGAAGGCCUUCGGGUUGUAAAGCCCUUUUGUUGGGAAAGAAAUCCAUCUGGUUAAUACCCGGGUGGGAUGACGGUACCCAAAGAAUAAGCACCGGCUAACUUCGUGCCAGCAGCCGCCGUAA
rnacentral:rRNA from 1 species